AGUGUCACGGGAUGGGAAUCGAACCCACGACCUUCCGCUUACCGGGCAGAUGCCAUGACCACUAGGCCACAUGACC
rnacentral:tRNA from 1 species